AGUCGGAAUCGCUAGUAAUCGCGGAUCAGCAUGCCGCGGUGAAUACGUUCCCGGGCCUUGUACACACCGCCCGUCACACCAUGAGAGUCGGGAACACCCGAAGUCCGUAGCCUAACAGCAAUGAGGGCGCGGCCGAAGGUGGGUUCGAUAAUUGGGGUGAAGUCGUAACAAGGUAAC
rnacentral:rRNA from 1 species